CUGGCGGCGCGUUUUAGCAUGCAAGUCGAGGGGUAGGGAGUCUUCGGAUUCCUGAGACCGGCGAACGGGUGAGUAACACGUAGGUGAUCUACCGUGAGGUUGGGGAUAGCCUGUGGAAACACAGGGUAAUACCGAAUGAGCUCCACACACUGUGGUGAGUGGAGGAAAGGGGCGGAUGCCCCGCCUUGCGAUGAGCCUGCGCCUGAUUAGCUUGUUGGUAGGGUAACGGCCUACCAAGGCGACGAUCAGUAGCCGGCCUGAGAGGGUGAUCGGCCACACUGGGACUGAGAUACGGCCCAGACUCCUACGGGAGGCAGCAGCUAAGAAUCUUCCGCAAUGGACGAAAGUCUGACGGAGCGACGCCGCGUGGGUGAAGAAGGCCGUGAGGUUGUAAAGCCCUUUUCUGCUUGAGGAAUAAGCCUGGGAGGAAAUGCCCGGGUGAUGACGGUAGGGCAGGAAUAAGCCCCGGCUAAUUACGUGCCAGCAGCCGCGGUAACACGUAUGGGGCGAGCGUUGUUCGGAAUUAUUGGGCGUAAAGGGCGCGUAGGCGGAUGGACAAGUCUGGUGUGAAAGACCGCAGCUCAACUGCGGGACCGCGCUGGAAACUGUACAUCUUGAAUCCUUGGAGGGGAAACUGGAAUUCCUGGUGUAGGGGUGAAAUCUGUAGAUAUCAGGAAGAACACCGGUGGCGNAAGGCGAGUUUCUGGCAAGUGAUUGACGCUGAGGCGCGGAAAGCGUGGGGAGCAAACAGGAUUA
rnacentral:rRNA from 1 species